AGUAAUUUUGCAAAAAUGUAUAAAACAAAACAUCCCCUGUAGCACCUUUAAGGUGUGAUAUAGCAUUAUAUAAAAAUAUUAAAUGUUCGUUAAAAUGGUAUGAUACUUUUCAGUUAAUUUGUCUUGUUGCUACUUCAGUUUGCAGAACACAUUCUGCAAAAUUCCACAGUUGACUUCUCCAGUGAGCCACAAGACGUAACAAAGUUCAGAAUGGAGAUUGCUUUAAUGCUGCUAUGCCAAUCUGGUGACCUACAGUAAGUGAACUGUGCCACUGGAGAGGCAGAAACAUUUGAAGUCUCUGAAGAAGAGGCAGAAACAUUAAAAGACACUGGAGGAGAGGCAGAAACAUUUGACUCUGUAGAUGUUCUUUGGAUUGCCUGUGAUUACUGCGGGCGAUGGUUCCACUUAAAAUGUGUGGGCAAUCCAUCCACGGAGGAUGAAUACAAAUGUGUUUCAUGCAAUAAAUGACUCAAUUAUGAAGCCUUUGUUUUUGGAGUUUGACUUUAUUUUCCCCUUAAUUUACACUUUGGGUAAACUGUUACACUUGCUCAAAUCAGUCUCUGAAUCAGUGAUCUGUCGUCAUUCUCUGAGCGAAAUCCAAUCUGAUAGUCCUUAAAAAAAUGAACAAAAAAAAAUGAGACUUAUGUCUAAAGAAACAUUGAAAUGUGAUCUCUGGAAGUGAAAUGUGAUCUCUGGAAGCCUCUGUUAGUUCUUGGAAUUACUAACAGCUCUUGA